rnacentral:rRNA from 1 species
GGCAGUGGAGACAUUGUCCUUCAGUUAGGCUGGCCCCAGAACAGGUGCUGCAUGGCUGUCGUCAGCUCGUGUCGUGAGAUGUUGGGUUAAGUCCCGCAACGAGCGCAACCCUCGCCCUUAGUUGCCAGCAUUUAGUUGGGCACUCUAAGGGGACUGCCGGUGAUAAGCCGAGAGGAAGGUGGGGAUGACGUCAAGUCCUCAUGGCCCUUACGGGCUGGGCUACACACGUGCUACAAUGGUGGUGACAGUGGGCAGCGAGACAGCGAUGUCGAGCUAAUCUCCAAAAGCCAUCUCAGUUCGGAUUGCACUCUGCAACUCGAGUGCAUGAAGUUGGAAUCGCUAGUAAUCGCAGAUCAGC